GGUAGGUGGUGUGCGUCACGUGCCCGGAAUCACCUGACUAGCAGCGGCUGAUGGUGGUGGGGGGGGAGGAGGAGUCACGAGGAGAUCCGGCCGGGCCGCGCCUCUUGUCGGGCUCCGGGCCUUCGCCCUGGGCGCAUCCCUCACGCACCUCGGCCUGCCCUGCGCGCUGCGCUGCUCACCGCUCACCGCCUCCUUCCGGGCUCCGAGAGCACCGCAGGGAAGAUGCUUCUGGGCGUCUGGAUGAAGGGAGGAAGGUGGUGGAGCUCAGGGACUCGGAUGCCACAAGGCAGUGGCAUUUAGUUGCCCUGAUCUCUGUGCCAGGUGCCCGCACCAUCCUGAUCAAGCUCUGACAGGACGACAAGGCUUCCCUUGUGCUCUGGACAGGAGAGGUGAAUUCUCUCUGAUUCUCUAGUGUCAACCGCUGUCACGCCUCUGUGUCACAGUGCUUGCCAAAAGGGAUCUCAAAUUCGCUGCCUUAAAUCUCUACUAUUCUUUCCCGGAGACUGCACCUCACCAGCUUUGAAAGAAAUGAUUACUUUCAAGGCAAGGAUGCCCACCCAUCAUCCACUUGACUGUCGGAUGCUUGGUUUCCAUGGAGAUUUUCAGAGCUACCCGACACAGGUGUUUUCUGAUCUUAUUGGGCAGCCCCCCCACACACACCUUUUUCAUAAGCUGGUGUGACGUUCGCUUCCCCACACCUCCAGCUUCUCAUCCAGGACCUUCUCACGGUCUCCGCUCUCCAACCCCGGCAACUCGGGAGUCUCACUGCAUGGUGUCUUACUGGAGCUGCUGGGUGAGUCCUGCUCAGCGAAGCACUUCCUUUUGAGCAGGAGUCGCCCACUCUACCGACAUGACUGGGUUGCUCCAGAUGGUGGGAGAGUCUCACUACCCCUUCUCCUCCAUUAACAGGCUUCCUGUGGCCUCUCUGUGACAGUCCUGAGCCGGGGGCUGUAGUCAACUUUCUGUUGACACCGGGACAGAAUUCUACAUGAUUCUCUUUGGCUGAAAACUCCAUGGCCCAGGGCCUUCCUCCUCUUUAGCAAACUUGGUUUGGUUUCUUCCUUGGUGACAGGCUCGAUUCCCUCACUUUUCUCUCAAGGAAGGUCUUAUGUUGGAGGAACCUGGCUAACGGAGCUCCUGCCCCUUUCUGUGAUGGCUGUAAUUCCUGUUAUUUAUUAAGCGGCGCUGUUUACCUUGUGAGAAAAGCCACGAGGUACAACAAAACCCACGAUAAGAGUUUAUUAAGGGAAAGGAAUAGGAAAGGUGUGCAUAGGCCUGUGGAAUAACUGUGCCGGAAGAGAGAGGAGGAAUGCAUGGAACCUGCUUUUAUAAGUUUCCCUGCACGUGCACGUAUGGGCUUACAUUGCUUCACUACCCAUGUGCAUAGAUUACGUGAUCACACAGCGCACGGAUGACGCUGGGAUGACUAAGCAUCUUGCCAGGCACAUGCAGUCAUGUUGCUGGGGGAGUGGCUAAGAAUUCUAACGAUUCCCACACUUCUCUUGCCUCUAAACUUGAAUCACUCUCCUUGCCCACACUAACUGGAUUUCAGCUGGAUCUUUAUGCCCUCCACGGUGCGUCCUUCAAGGGGACUAGUUGGUUCUUUAUAUCAAGAUGCUGCUCCUGGCUCUCGACUGGGUUCUGUUUCACCACAGCCUCCGUAAAGGUUCCACACCACCUCCCGGAUCUUCCCUGAAAACUAUGGAGAACAUUUGGUGUUGGCUUCUGUGGGAACCUUUUGUUCUUCUACCUUCCUAGUAUCUUGUGGAUUUGAAUGGCUUUCUCUCUUCUUGUUCAUUUUUUUGCUAAGCAAAGCCGUGGUCUUUGCUCUUAAAUAGGUUUCAAUUGUUGUUACUGCCUCAGGCUUUUUCUUGGGAAGCCCGUACAUGACUUUUGAAGAGAGCUUCUGCUGCACUCUGCAAGCCUGCUCCCUGACUCCAAGCAUCUGGCAGAGCUACCCUGCACGAGGCAAGUCCCCAGGGUGAGGGCCCUGGCACUUCCCUCUAGAGCCCACAAGUGGGAGACUAUGUCCCAGUUUCCCCAGCCGCUGCUAAAGGUGGGUCAGCCCAACUAUUGGCUAGCCCAUGGUUCACCCUACUGUUGGCUGAGGCAACUCUGAGAAGUCUGACAUCCAAGGGUUUUAGGCCCAAGACUUGGCUCCCAAAUUCUUCGGGGCUCCCCAUAAAACUCGCUCUCCCAGUCUUCAAGUGUGGGAGCCCAGCGCUUGGGCCCCCAUUUCCUCCUCUCACUCUCCUAAGUUCCGGUGUUCUUCCUCCUCUCUAGUCCUCCCCUGUGGGGACCAGAGUUUGGCAGGAUCGGUAGUUCUUCUCCACAUUGUCAUGCCCCUACCACACCACUUGUUUUCAAAGUUCCCCCAGCCUCUGGCCUCCACACUGCACCACUGCCCUGGUCUGGGGACUACUGAACUCGGCACAGUCCCAGCUUUUUAACCACCCUGCAGUGGGUAAGGAUGGGGAAGAGGGCUGUGAUUUAGGCUAAAGCCCAUACCAGUCCUUGGUCCCCAUGACUCUUGAUGCCGUGAAUACCACCUGUAUACGGAUGGGCACAGGCAUCCUAGGGACAGGUGGAACGUGUGUGACAGGCAGAAGGCCAGAGACAAGGGACAGAGUUCUCUGGGGAAUUGAGAUGGGUGAGCAGACCUGGCUAGUUAGAGAUGUCAGGACAUAGCUUUUGUCCUUAAUAAUCCUGAUAACUGUUUGGACCACCCAGGCAGAACAUUCUGAGUGGCAGCUGUUCACAGCAAGAUGACUCCACGUGGAAAGAUUACCCAAAGCGGCAGCCAGAGCAACUUUAUUCCAAGAAUGUUUCUUAGGUUCCCACUGCAGCCAGCAUCUUGGUUUUUGCCUCUUUGGUGAAAACAAAGGAGCUUAUAGAAUUUGUUUGGAACUCUCUAGAAAGUUUGGUCCUGGCUGUAUCCUCUCCAGUCACUGGACCUAACGCCUUGCCUUCCAUUUUGUUCGGGGCUCUUUUGAGCACUUUGGGUUCCUCUGGAACCAUUUCUGGUGACUUUGUCUUUCCCGGGUCUUCUGAACUGUUUCAGUUUUGUGGCCUACAACAGGGAAAGCUUUUAGGGUUAUGCUGAACCAGUUUGGCUCUGCAGAAACAUCUGAGAUAUGGAGGCAGGGGUAUCAGCUAGGUCACUGGCGUGAGUAACAUGACCACAUAUGAAGUCUUUCCUGAGGUUAUGACGACGGCAUCUAAAGCAGCCUGGAGCAAUCAGUCUGUGGUUGGCAUUCCUAAAAACAAGUCACAGACUCCAGCCACUUCGUGUUUGCAUUUCUUUUUAAAAAAAUUCUUGGCAUGCCUUUACAAGAUGUGCAUGUUUGUAGUAUGUACACUCACAUGUGUGCAUCUUUUGGAGGUAUUUCUUAGGCUAUAUUAAUCCUUGGAGUUGUUGUCUCUGUAUUUCUUCUCCCUUUAAAAAGUGGUUGGCAAAGAUGCAAGAACUAGCAAAUUAGAAACUAGAAAAAAAAAGACUGAUUUUACUGGUUCCCUCAGGGACUCUCUAUAAAGGUUAACUAACUGAUAUGUUAAUUUUGAGCUUGCUUCCUUGUGGAAUUGCAUCUGACACUUUGAAUUGUUAAGUCUGAAAAUGAAGCGUAGAGGUCAGGCUAGGCCCUGCUCUGAGUUACUCUCUAUUUUAUAACACUGUGUUUUAUUCUCCUUCGGGCUGUAUGUUGCCUUUACAAGCAAAGGGUGAGAGCACUCCCCUGGGUGGAUAAAACUGCAUGCCUACCACCCAUCCAGCAAAGACUGAUGAAGGACUUAUUCCAGGAACUAGGAAGGGAAUGAUGCUGUGAGUCUAUCAGGGAGAAUUUAAUCUGUGGAGGCACAUGUGUGAGCAUUGCAGCUUGGAUGGAAAAGUAUCCUGGCAGUCGGAAGCCAAGGAAUGCCACAAAGUCACUGUAAGCACAGCAGUUUACAGCUCUGCUCCAGGGAAAGGUUUCCCCAGCUCAGGUGAAACAACUCUGCUCUGGCAGGGGAGGAUUUCCUCACUGGAGUUGUUACAGCUCUGCUCAGGUCCAGAGAUAUCCCUGGGAAUGUAACAACUGGGCUCCCUCCGGUAAAAGUGUUACACCGCACAACAAACCUCACUCAAGAGAUUUAUUGGGGAGGAAGAAUCCAGGGCUGCCUCUAGGGUGAGAAGCAGCAGCCAACUGAGCAGGGUACAGAGCUUAUAUAGGGUUUCUUGAUGGGGGUCGGGUGGCGGGGUGUGACUUGGGAUUGGUGAGAUUUCAUGCUCAGGGACUUCAGGGAUUGGUGGGAUUCUACAGCCUGGUUCUGGGGCAAGCUCAGGGAUUGGUGGGAUUUCAAGCCCUGGUCCUGGGGUCAAGUCAGGGUCAGGGUGUUUUUCAUUGGCCCUUUUCACCCCUACAACAUGGAUGUAGUAUUAAAACUGUAUCAGGAGCACCAACCAGACCCAAGAACUUAUUAGCUACAUCAAGGGAAGGAAAGGGUGUAUUCCCUCACCUGGACUCCGUAUGAUGGACUCCUAACACUAACAUUGUACGAUCCCACCUCCACCUGUCAUCUGAUACCCAGUGUGUGCAUCAAGGACCAAGGACUCCCGACUAUCCCCUGAGCAUCUCUUGAGUUCCAGCUUGGCUCUGUCCCCUGCUGUGGACACAGCCUACUCAACUGCCUGCCACCUAUUCACCCAGCUGUAUCUGAGCAGCCAUCUCCAGUUUCCUGCUUUCCCCUCACAGCUGAACUCUGCAGCCUCACCCUGCCUCAGCAACAGCAGCAGCAGCAGCAGCAGCAGCAGCAGCAGCAGCAACCCCCUCCAAGAACCAGUUCAUUAUCUCAUCCCUCAGCCCACUUCUAAAACCUCUCAAACUCUGCUACAACUUGUUCUGUAAUCUACAGAAACAUAUAUAGGUACAGGUGCCGUGAGAUAUGAGUGUUUACGCUAGUAAUUAAGAUUGGAAUAAAAGACCCUUCAUUCACCUUGGCCAGGCUACCAAGGUAGACAGAUGAUGACAGAAACCACUCAAGUAGAGCUGGAGAGAUGGUUAAGAGUACACUGUUCUUGCAGGUGACCUGAAUUCAGCUCCCAGCACCCGCAUCAGGUGGCUCACAACUGCCUGUAACUCCAGCUCCAGCAGAUUUGAUACCACUGACCCCUGUAGGUACCCACAUGCACCGAUUCCCACAUGGACAACACACCAUAUACACAUAACUUUUAAAAAUUAAUGCAAAAAAUUUAAAGGAAACUGCUAAACCUUGUGGUUUUAUUUGCUAUACAGUAAAUUCUGCCCUUGUGGAAAGACACAGACAUGUCCUUAUGUUUCUGGCAUAGUGUAUAGUCCAUGCUGAGGCUGAGAAAAAUCUCACAGAAUUCACCAGAGAUAUAACUUAUAGCCUAAAUGAUGAUUAAAUUGUUUAAAAUAUGCUUUUAUUAAGUAUUCAGAUAUCUCCAAACUGCUUUUUGCUGGGCAAACUUAAAAUGUAAAUUUCAAAGAUUAAUUUUAGGGUUGUCCUAUGUAAAAAUAUUUUUGCAUGAAUUCUGGGCCUUCAUUCAAAUAAAAUACUAUGUUGAGAUAAUUCUUCUAUUCAACUAA